CAAGAUCAGAGUCCGAAAUGUACCUCGCCCACUUCUAUGGUUUCCAUAGUGCCAGACCUGCUUAGGUCCUUCAUAGGUAGUGACAGCCAAGUGUCUCUCCUCCAGGGCGUCUUUAGUAGGAAUCUCAGCCCGAGUCCAGUGCCAUGCAGCUACCAGAGCACAAUUGUGGACAGGUCCCAAAAUUGGGAGGGAAUGGGUUUGGGAACAUUAGAGCCUUUCUAGAGCCACCAAAAUUACAAACUAACUCUGCAGUCUGUUGGUAGCCUUUUAAUGGACAUCAAGAUAUAUUUACUAGAACAAAGAUUCUGUUCUUUUUCUUUAAGAUCAUUCCUCUCUUAGGGAUUGGAGAACAAUCCUAAUUUGUAAAGAGGUUUUUGGAAACUCCUUUAUAAAUACUGAUGUCAUAGUUAGUUUGACCUCAGUAACCUGAAGCUACCAACAAUGUCAGAAGAGCCAAAGAAUUCAGCAUGACAGGCCAGUCUGAUGGUUUUUCUCUUUGAUUUCAGAAGACAAUGAUUCCUCAAGUGUGCUUGGAAUGGAAAUGAUAAACAAGAGUCAUUGCUUUCUUCCCAUGUGAAGCAUCACAUCCUUAGAACAUCGAGGGGUCAAAAGGAACUAAGACACCUUCUGAGUGAGACCCUGAUUCUGUUGAAAAGGCCUAGAGUGGUGGGGUGACUGCUACUGCUCUGGAUCAGGAGUCACUUCUGGUGCCUGGUGGGACAGGAGAGAGGACAAUGAGCAAAAUAACCCAGAAAGCACGAAAUUCAGCCGUUUGGAGAGAGGAAAGUGAAAGGGGCACCUCAUUGUCUCCCUCCGCCCACCCACCUGCACCUGACUACCAUGGGCUGUGCCCUCAUGGAGGCACCAUCAAAUGCUAUCAGACCACAGGGAGAGCGUCCUUCAUCCUGCCUGAAGAUGGCAUCCAGGCAGAGUUUUGCUCUUGUUACCCAGACUGGAGUGCAAUGGCGCGAUCUCGGCUCACCGCAAUCUCCGCCUCCUGGGUUCAGGCAGUUCUCCUGCCUCAGCCUCCUGCGUAGCUGGGAUUAAAGCCUUGCCAUGUUUUCUCUUUCGAGAAUUUAUUUUUCAUCUCUUUAUUCACUGGGAUUCUGGACCAUAAUAUAUGUAAACACAAAAAAUACUAAAGAUUGAAAAUAAAAUUAUUCUGUUAUCUGAUUAUAAAAGUGGU
rnacentral:lncRNA from 13 species